UACAGAGGUCUCAAGCGUUGUUCGGAUUCAUUGGGCGUAAAGGGUGCGUAGGCGGCGCGGUAAGUCGGGUGUGAAAUCUCGGAGCUUAACUCCGAAACUGCAUUCGAUACUGCCGUGCUUGAGUAUGGGAGAGGUGAGUGGAAUUUCCGGUGUAGCGGUGAAAUGCGUAGAGAUCGGGAGGAACAUCAGUGGCGAAGGCGGCCAUCUGGGGACAACACUGACGCUGAGGCACGAAAGCGUGGGGAGCAAACAGG
rnacentral:rRNA from 1 species